rnacentral:rRNA from 1 species
GGCGAACGCUGGCGGCGUGCUUAACACAUGCAAGUCGAACGGUAAGGCCCUUCGGGGUACACGAGUGGCGAACGGGUGAGUAACACGUGGGUGAUCUGCCCUGCACUUCGGGAUAAGCCUGGGAAACUGGGUCUAAUACCGGAUAGGACCACUGCCUGCAUGGGUGGUGGUGGAAAGCUUUUGCGGUGUGGGAUGGGCCCGCGGCCUAUCAGCUUGUUGGUGGGGUGAUGGCCUACCAAGGCGACGACGGGUAGCCGGCCUGAGAGGGUGACCGGCCACACUGGGACUGAGAUACGGCCCAGACUCCUACGGGAGGCAGCAGUGGGGAAUAUUGCACAAUGGGCGCAAGCCUGAUGCAGCGACGCCGCGUGAGGGACGACGGCCUUCGGGUUGUAAACCUCUUUCAGCACCGACGAAGCGCAAGUGACGGUAGGUGCAGAAGAAGGACCGGCCAACUACGUGCUAGCAGCCGCGGUAA